UACAGAGGGUGCGAGCGUUGUCCGGAAUCACUGGGCGUAAAGGGCGCGUAGGCGGCUUGAUAAGUAGGGGGUGAAAUCUCAUGGCUCAACUGUGAGGCUGCCUUCUAGACUGUCUGGCUUGAGCACAGUAGAGGCGAGUGGAAUUCCCGGUGUAGCGGUGGAAUGCGUAGAGAUCGGGAAGAACAUCGGUGGCGAAGGCGGCUCGCUGGGCUGUUGCUGACGCUGAUGCGCGAAAGCGUGGGGAGCAAAC
rnacentral:rRNA from 1 species